CCUUCGGGGUACACGAGCGGCGAACGGGUGAGUAACACGUGAGCAACCUGCCCCUGACUCCGGGAUAAGCGGUGGAAACGCCGUCUAAUACCGGAUACGACCCUCCUCCGCAUGGUGGGGGGUGGAAAGUUUUUUCGGUCGGGGAUGGGCUCGCGGCCUAUCAGCUUGUUGGUGGGGUAACGGCCUACCAAGGCGAUUACGGGUAGCCGGCCUGAGAGGGCGACCGGCCACACUGGGACUGAGACACGGCCCAGACUCCUGCGGGAGGCAGCAGUGGGGAAUAUUGCGCAAUGGGCGAAAGCCUGACGCAGCGACGCCGCGUGGGGGAUGACGGCCUUCGGGUUGUAAACCUCUUUUACCACUCACGCAGGCCCCACGUUUUCGUGGGGUUGACGGUAGGUGGGGAAUAAGGACCGGCUAACUACGUGCCAGCAGCCGCGGUAAUACGUAGGGUCCGAGCGUUGUCCGGAAUUAUUGGGCGUAAAGAGCUCGUAGGCGGCGUGUCGCGUCUGCUGUGAAAGACCGGGGCUUAACCCCGGUUCUGCAGUGGAUACGGGCAUGCUAGAGGUAGGUAGGGGAGACUGGAAUUCCUGGUGUAGCGGUGAAAUGCGCAGAUAUCAGGAGGAACACCGGUGGCG
rnacentral:rRNA from 1 species